rnacentral:rRNA from 1 species
UACGAAGGGGGGCUAGCGUUGCUCGGAAUCACUGGGCGUAAAGGGUGCGUAGGCGGGUCUUUUAAGUCAGGGGGUGAAAUCCUGGAGCUCAACUCCAGAACUGCCUUUGAUACUGAGGAUCUUGAGUUCGGGAGAGGUGAGUGGAACUGCGAGUGUAGAGGUGAAAUUCGUAGAUAUUCGCAAGAACACCAGUGGCGAAGGCGGCUCUCUGGGACGGUACUGACGCUGAGACGCGAAAGCGUGGGGAGCAAACAGG